CAAGUGCUUAAAAGAUUUAUCGUAUAUAUCAUCAUGAUCAUUGUUGUGGAAUACACUAUUACAUAAUGUUCCUAUAAUGUGUACGAUAUGUUUACAUAUUCAUAAUCUAUGUUCGUGCACAUAAAAUAUCCAAGAUGGCGAUCGAGAGAGCUGCAUCAUCACUACAUUCGUGCCUUCAUCAGUUCAAACGGAAUAAUAUGCACGAACGAAUGCUUAAAUAAAAUUUACCUAGUUCCUUGCUUACACAUAACAAACACUGUGUCGGUAUAAAAGUCCAAAGUUUAUAAAAUCUCAAAAUAAAAAUCUUGUUUACAAAACUAUCGAUCUGUAGAUAAGCAAGAAAGUGUAAUAAGAUACAUAGUGAAGAAACUAACCAAUGGGCAUCCAGUCAAAAGAGCGUAAUGCAGGGGUUCCCCAAAGGAUUAUGAAAAUAAUCAAAAAGAAAUGAAUUAAUGGUUUUCGUCGUUUGCAUAAAAUAAGUUAUUAAAAUAACUUGCC
rnacentral:lncRNA from 1 species